rnacentral:misc_RNA from 1 species
AACCUAGCACACCUGCGGUGUGUACCUGCGGAAGGAUCAUUAUAGUAUAUGGAAUCUCCAUUCUAUAAACCCACUCUGCGUAUCUUGUAACUGUUGCUUCCAUGGGACUUGGUUCCGCCACACCGGCUUCACGGCUGGUGAGCGCCCAUGGAAGGAGAAACAAAACUCUUCUUUGAAAUGUAGUCAGUCUGAACAAGUUUUUAUAAACGUUAAAACUUUCAACAACGGAUCUCAGAUCGG